rnacentral:rRNA from 1 species
GCAUAUCAAUAAGCGGAGGAAAAGAAACCAACAGGGAUUGCCUCAGUAACGGCGAGUGAAGCGGCAACAGCUCAAAUUUGAAAUCUGGCUCCUUCGGGGCCCGAGUUGUAAUUUGGAGAAGAUGCUUCGAGCGUGGCCCUGGCCUAAGUUCCUUGGAACAGGACGUCAUAGAGGGUGAGAAUCCCGUACGUGACCGGCGGCCUACGCUCGUGUGAAGCUCUUUCGACGAGUCGAGUUGUUUGGGAAUGCAGCUCUAAAUGGGUGGUAAAUUUCAUCUAAAGCUAAAUAUUGGCCAGAGACCGAUAGCGCACAAGUAGAGUGAUCGAAAGAUGAAAAGCACUUUGGAAAGAGAGUUAAACAGUACGUGAAAUUGUUGAAAGGGAAGCGCUUGCAACCAGACUUGCGCGUCGCUGAUCAUCUGGUGUUCUCACCGGUGCGCUCAGCGGCGUUCAGGCCAGCAUCAGUUUUGGUGGUUGGAUAAAGGCCCUGGGAACGUGACUCCUUCCGGGGAGUGUUAUAGCCCAGGGCGCAAUACAGCCUACCGAGACUGAGGACCGCGCUUCGGCUAGGAUGCUGGCGUAAUGGUUGUAAGCGACCCGUCUUGAAACACGGACC